GACGAACCGUGCGAACGUUGUUCGGAAUCACUGGGCUUAAAGGGCGCGUAGGCGGCUUGCCAAGUCAGGGGUGAAAUCCAGCAGCUUAACUGUUGAAGUGCCUUUGAUACUGGCGGGCCUGAGGGAGGUAGGGGUAUGCGGAACUUCUGGUGGAGCGGUGAAAUGCGUUGAUAUCAGAAGGAACGCCGGUGGCGAAAGCGGCGUACUGGACCUCUUCUGACGCUGAGGCGCGAAAGCUAGGGGAGCAAACAGG
rnacentral:rRNA from 1 species